ACGCCGCACCCAUGCAGCUUAGCGCGAUAAACCCGAGAGGGACCGAGGGACCUUAGACCAACGAGGGGAUACGUCUAGCGCGACGCAACGUCCUAAUCGAGCAACGAUUGCCCAUAGCGGGGGGGCAUUACACCAUGGCCGGGUGAGACCGUUGCUCCACAUGAAGCUCAGCACACCCAACCGUGGGGAUCAGCCCCCUACACACGCACAAGCUCAAGCACAACCACCGUGCCGUCAUUGCGUGCAUCUGGUAGCUAUUGGCUCAUCGGGCUAGGCAUUCAUAUAAAUACCAUCAUUGCCGCAAUGAUUGCCAGCAAAUCGCGCACAACAAAAAAAUUGCACCCGCACACUCCGCCCACGGCUCGCCGGAAAGACACCGUUGAGGUGGCCGGACCCGAUGUCCGGCACCACUCGGGACCGAUGGGGGGGACUCAUGUCCCUAGAUACCCGUCACCCACAGCGAGGCGAGGGCCUAGCAAGGCCCCCGCAAUAAGCCCCCCCAGCAAGGGGGAGUGCCCCCCCCCUUAAAGAGUCUUAUUUGCAAAAUCACUAUUGGCAGGAGGAAACAUCAUGAUGCUUGAGUGGAUGAAUGGGUCAUAAAAAAUUCAUUUCUUCGAAUUUUAACUUGAUUUUU
rnacentral:lncRNA from 1 species